rnacentral:lncRNA from 8 species
CCAUGACUCUGAGCAUGUCUCCGGCUGCGGUGUGCCAGUGCUUUACGCUGGUGUCACUGUGCACAUCCAUCGCCGACCCAAACUGGAUCCAAGUCAUCAACAACACUGACCCCGGAGGCAAACAGCUCAUCUAUGGUGUGGCUUUCAUACUGCAUGCGCCCCAGAACCUCACUGACACAGGUCCCCUGGGUGGCAUAAAUGGCUGGGGGGUGUGGCUGCUCUAUGCCCUGGCGGCUCUGUGCUACAGUGCUGUCCUGCUCUCCAGCUCCUCCUUCCUAUUGGACUUCCUGGGGACUGGGAUGUCCCACCCUCGACUGGUGGUGUUACUCCACAUCUCCACAGUGGUUCUCCUCCUGUCUGUUCUGGGAGUUUGUGGGGCCUGCCUGUACAUCAUCCACUGCAACCUUCAGGAGGGCAAGUUUGGGCCACUGUGGGAAUGGGUAGGGGGCUGGACCUGGCCUGGGUCUGGCUCCAGGAGCCAGGGAGGGGCGGCGGGGAUGAAGCCUUACCCAGGGGAGAGCUUCUACAUCACCAUGCUGGGCCUGCUCUUCUCCUGCCUGGCCGGUGUGAGCAGCCUGGGGGACCCCACCUCCACCCAGAGGGACUACACAGCUGUGGUGGAGUGGGACGACAGUGACACAGAGCCCCUUACCCCCAGGGAGCAGGGAGUGGGACAGUCUGAUGAAGAGGAGGGGAACAGAAGUGUCCAGUCCAGUUACUCUCAUUCCCACUCAUCUGCUGUAUGUGUUGGUGUCCGUCAUCUCUGCCUCCUAUAG